rnacentral:rRNA from 1 species
AGAAUCAACGCUGGCGGCGUGCCUAACACAUGCAAGUCGCACGAGAAAGAGACUUCGGUCUUGAGUACAGUGGCGCACGGGUGAGUAACACGUGACUAAUCUACCUUUGAGUGGGGAAUAAACCUGGGAAACCCGGGCUAAUACCGCAUAAUACCUACGGGUCAAAGCAGCAAAUGCGCUUAAAGAGGAGGUCGCGGUCGAUUAGUUAGUUGGCGGGGUAAUGGCCCACCAAGACGAUGAUCGAUA